CCCUUAGAGUUUGAUCCUGGCUCAGAUUGAACGCUGGCGGCAUGCUUUACACAUGCAAGUCGAGCGGCAGCGCGGGAGCAAUCCUGGCGGCGAGCGGCGAACGGGUGAGGAAUACAUCGGAACGUGUCCCGUAGUGGGGGAUAGCUCGGCGAAAGCCGGAUUAAUACCGCAUAUGCUCUACGGAGGAAAGCCGGGGAUCUCGAGGGAAACUGAGGGACCUGGCGCUAUGGGAGCGGCCGAUGUCCGAUUAGCUAGUUGGUGGGGUAAAGGCCCACCAAGGCGACGAUCGGUAGCUGGUCUGAGAGGAUGAUCAGCCACACUGGGACUGAGACACGGCCCAGACUCCUACGGGAGGCAGCAGUGGGGAAUUUUGGACAAUGGGGGCAACCCUGAUCCAGCCAUGCCGCGUGCGGGAAGAAGGCCUUCGGGUUGUAAACCGCUUUUAGUCGGGAAGAAAAGGGCGAGGCUAAUACCUUCGUCACUUGACGGUACCGGCGGAAUAAGCACCGGCUAACUACGUGCCAGCAGCCGCGGUAAUACAGAGGGGGCAAGCGUUAUUCGGAAUUAUUGGGCGUAAAGGGCGCGUAGGCGGCUUGGCAAGUGGAUGGUGAAAUCCCCUCGGCUUAACCGAGGAACUGCCGUCCAAACUGCUUUGCUUGAGACCAGGAGAGGUGAGUGGAAUUCCCAGUGUAGCGGUGAAAUGCGUAGAUAUUGGGAGGAA
rnacentral:rRNA from 1 species